GCGGUAGUAGCAUAGGUGGUUUAUGCAGAGGACUGAAAAUCCUUAGAUUCUGGUUCAACUCCAGGCUUCCGCA
rnacentral:tRNA from 1 species